CGGGGCGUAGCGCAGUCUGGUAGCGCACCAGCAUGGGGUGCUGGGGGUCGGAGGUUCAAAUCCUCUCGCCCCGACCA
rnacentral:tRNA from 1 species